rnacentral:rRNA from 1 species
GCCAGACUCCUACGGGAGGCAGCAGUGGGGAAUAUUGCACAAUGGGGGAAACCCUGAUGCAGCGACGCCGCGUGAGUGAAGAAGUAUUUCGGUAUGUAAAGCUCUAUCAGCAGGGAAGAAGAAGGACGGUACCUGAGUAAGAAGCCCCGGCUAACUACGUGCCAGCAGCCGCGGUAAUACGUAGGGGGCAAGCGUUAUCCGGAUUUACUGGGUGUAAAGGGAGCGUAGACGGCAUGGCAAGUCAGAUGUGAAAGCCCGGGGCUCAACCCCGGGACUGCAUUUGAAACUGUCAGGCUGGAGUGCAGGAGAGGUAAGUGGAAUUCCUAGUGUAGCGGUGAAAUGCGUAGAUAUUAGGAGGAACACCAGUGGCGAAGGCGGCUUACUGGACUGUAACUGACGUUGAGGCCCGAAAGCGUGGGGAGCAAACAGGAUUAGAUACCCUCGUA